AAAGGAAAAAGGAAUAGGAGAAAGGAGAAGGGACACUGAAGAGGGAAAAAAAGAAAGAAAAGGAGGAGGGACAUCCCAAAGGAGGAGGACGAGAGCAUAAAUGAGGACAAGGCUAAGAGUUGAAAGCAACCGUGUUUUGAAAGUGUUCGCACGUAUGGUUGAUAUACAACUUAAAAAUGUGGAGUCCGUGAAAGUGUAAUGUGAGGACGAUAUGUUUGGGUACGAGAGUUUCAUGUACAUAACUUUGGAAGAUUUUGAAGUGGUUUUUACCGUGGAUGAGAUAAUCGGUUCUGCGAUUACUUGUUAUAUGAUGUACUUGUUUGAGGAAAUCAAGAAUGGGACAAAAAGAGAUCAUGGAAUUUGCUUUGUGAGCCCGUCUGCAAUCUCGCCAUCAGGACGUAAGGCAAAAUUCAAAAAUAGCGAUGAGGCAAGUCGAAGCAUUGCAGAUCGAUUGUCUCUAAGAAAGGACAGUGACAUCGUCCUAGUGCCAUAUAAUCCCGAGUUUGUUUUUUCAUUUGAUUAUCAAUAUAUUUUAGUAACUUAAUUUGGUUUUUGGUUUUUAUAGAAGACAUUAGGUGUUGGCGGUGAUAGAUAUGAAAGCAACAAGUUGUUAUUAUCUUGAUUCCUUGGGGCCCACAAUGUCCAUCAGUAGUUGAAGUAGAUUAUUGAUGCGGCAAUGAUAUUGUACACUACUCAAAGUGGAUCUAACAAAAAGGUUAGCCUCAAUUGGAUCAAUGUUUUGUGUCCCUGUCAGUCGGGAGGUACCGAGUGUGGAUAUUAUGCUUGUAAGUUCAUGAAAGAGAUAGUCGAGAAUGGACUUGAAGUGAUGGUUAAUAAGAAUGUUAGCGAUGCGAAGGAAGAAUACACGGAUGA